GACGAACGCCGGCGGCGUGCUUAACACAUGCAAGUCGAACGGAAAGGCCCUGCUUGCAGGGUACUCGAGUGGCGAACGGGUGAGUAACACGUGGGUGAUCUGCCCUGCACUUCGGGAUAAGCUUGGGAAACUGGGUCUAAUACCGGAUAGGACCGCACUUUAGUGUGUGUGGUGGAAAGUUUUUUCGGUGUAGGAUGAGCUCGCGGCCUAUCAGCUUGUUGGUGGGGUAAUGGCCUACCAAGGCGGCGACGGGUAGCCGGCCUGAGAGGGUGUACGGCCACAUUGGGACUGAGAUACGGCCCAGACUCCUACGGGAGGCAGCAGUGGGGAAUAUUGCACAAUGGGCGCAAGCCUGAUGCAGCGACGCCGCGUGGGGGAUGAAGGCCUUCGGGUUGUAAACUCCUUUCGCUAGGGACGAAGCUUUUUGUGACGGUACCUAGAUAAGAAGCACCGGCUAACUACGUGCCAGCAGCCGCGGUAAUACGUAGGGUGCGAGCGUUGUCCGGAAUUACUGGGCGUAAAGGGCUCGUAGGUGGUUUGUCGCGUCGUCUGUGAAAUUCUGGGGCUUAACUCCGGGCGUGCAGGCGAUACGGGCAUAACUUGAGUGCUGUAGGGGUAACUGGAAUUCCUGGU
rnacentral:rRNA from 1 species